AAAUCACGAUGUAUGACAGGUGGGACUGCCCCUUCAUGAAGAUAUUCAACUCCAUGUGAAAUAUCUAGAGCAAUUUGAAGCCUUUCUUCCCAGCCCAAAACUAGUUCUUCAUUGUAUAGAAGGUUUGACAGGCUUCCAUUACUCAUGAACUCAUAAAUCAACAUGCGCUGUCCUUUAUCAACACAAUAUCCUAACAAAUUCACGAGGUUCCGGUGAUGCAGCCUUCCUAGCAGUGAUACCUCUGUUUGAAACUCUUUCUCCCCUUGUUUUGAAUUACAAGCAAGAACCUUUACAGCUACUACUCCACCAGGCAUCACAGCUUUGUACACAGGACCAAAUGAACCUUGUCCCAAUACAGUAGUGAAAUUUUGUGUUGCUUUCUGAAUAUCCUUGUAAGAAUAUCUAAGUAUGCCUGGUGCGGACAUAAACCUAUCUUUACUGUGAUGGUUCCACCAAAAAAAAUGUGAACUUUUAUGAGGUUGUUCCAAUUGCUGAAUGGUUAUGGAAUUUAUAAGCGAUGCACUGAAGUCAGUGCUAGUCUCCAAGCCAUUUAUGCGUAUUGGCAGGGUUGUUAGACUACGUUCAUUUGCACACUGUCGGAGAUGAGCAUGAUUCUUG
rnacentral:misc_RNA from 1 species